UGGCCCUGAAAGGGACCCCAAGCCUCACUCAGGGAUUUAUGGCACAGAAGGGGGUGCAAUUAUGCUAUUCUAAUUGUCUGUUCAUCUGUCUUUGUAUCAUACCCUAGGGAGCACCUCUUCCCCCACGGGGGCCUCUGCCUCUCCCAUACUCAGUGACCUCCCAUCCAGUCCUUGUUGAAACUUACUUUUCCUUAACCCCCCUCCUUAGAAGGAUUAUAAAUGACUAAAGAAGACAAUUUGGGCGAUACAAACUAACUUUAUGUAACACUUCAUGAAGCGGGCAGUCUCUGUUUCCAAGGGUUGAGUGAACUGCAAAAUGGAGGCAGACAGCGGGAAGCUUAUAUGGGAUAAAGAGAAAAGAAUGAGGAAGAGAAGAAUAGAAAAAUGAAUAAGGAACAAAGAAGUGAGUAUAGGCAGAGCUGGCUUGGCGUCUGGGGCUUGGCUGACUGGAUAUACUGUUUCUCAUCAGGUGGGACAUUUACAGGGGCAUGACAGUUAUCUAAGCGUCUGUUUGCUAACGUGCCCUUCCCCCACCUCCCCCAUCCCCUGGGGCAAGGGCGGCUUCAUCUUGGGCCUGGAGAUGUUUUUAACAUAACAGUUUGCUCCUUCUGAUUCACAGUGAAGGGUAAAUUGUGCCCUUGAUGGGGACACUGUAGAGGGGUUGGAAGGGCUUUCUGAGGCUGGGGUCUGUGGUUUCCUCCUGCGGGCCCCCACAGGCAGCCUCUGCCCUCUCCCACAAUGCACUGCAGGAUGGCCACCCCUGAGUCUGUUAACAGCUAUGGAAUUGAAGGGCCCAGAGACUCCUGAGUACGUGUUUCCCAGAUUUACCAGACACUCAGGAUUAUCUAGCAUGCUUUCACAAAGGCUAGGAUUCUGAACCCCUCUGCUUUGGAAACUCUCAUUCGGUAGAUGCCAUGUGGAAACUGGGAAUCUGUAUGUUUGACACCCCCCGGGGUGAUUUUUAGACUUUGUCCAGCGAAGUCAGUAUUUCCUGCCUUUCUUUUCUCCCAUGUAACUUGCAGAUAAGAAGAUUGAGCCCUGAAGUGGGGUCAGGAGUGAUUUGAGGAAGGGGCAAGCAAAGCAAAAGGAACAUGUCCUCACAAUUUCUCCCUGCCUCUAUUUCCAUGAGACGUGGGGAUCUAUGGGAACAGGCAAUCCAGAAGAGCAAUGCUCUACCAGCCUGGGCUUCGAAGCCUGCAGGAAGCCUUCCCAGCCACGCGAGUUCCAGAAACGCGUUCUGUUCAAAUUCCUCCCUCGGCAAUUUCAUUUACUGCCUUCCUACAGUCGUCAACGUCACCUACUUUUAUCUCUGAACUCUUCUGUUGGUGAUCUGUGUGUCUCGUCUCCUCAAAAAGAUCUCGAGUGUUUUGAGGGCAGAGACCCCGGAUCCAGGAAGCCAACCGACUCUCUCCCCGAAUAAGUACUUUCCUCUUUAAUGACUACUUGUCUAGUUGCCUAGCUAUGUCUCUCCUCCCCAGCCUGUCUCGCAAACCCUUUGGGGAGAUGUGGCUUAAGUCAUCACAGGGUUUAGAAACGAGCUUGGCACAUGUCAGGUCCUCAGUAGGUGUUGGUCGAAUCCCUUGGUGUAUUAAUAAUCAAUGGCUCCAUUUCUGUGGAUUCCACGUAGCCUGGCCCGGGGCUUCUGUUUUUAGUAGGUCCACAGUGAUUCCUUUCUGUAUUGUUAUUUCAGUAUUUUAACGUCAUUUAGUAUUUUAGCAUGAUUGCUUUCAGGCGAAGUGGCAGGACAACGUGGGAACCCCAAUCAGACAGCCGGGGUCUGAAUCCUGGCGCGCUGCCUAGUUGCAGCCGUGGGAUCUCCCCAGAGUGGAUUAACGACUCCUCGAAGGCAAGAACCGGGUCUUAUGCUUCCCAGUGUCUCUCCUGGUUUAGAACAGCGGUAAGGAACCCGGGUUACGGCAUCACAUGGGCUUUCAUUUGAAGAGGGAUUUCAUUCCGUAGGACCCGGGCCACCCUGGGCUACUCCCCUAACCCUUCGAGGCCUUGGUGUCUUUAUGUGUAAAAAGUGUCUCUUCCAUAGUAUUGUUCUCAGGAUUAGAUGAGAUAAUGCACGUGCAGCAUUCGUGCUGGGCUGGGUGCAGAACAGGCUCUACAAACGGAGGCUUUGGAUGACAGCAACAAAUACACCAUGGUUAUUGUCUGGUUGAGCGGGCAAGUUGGAGGUUUCGGUGUGAAACUACGGUCGAGAAGCCAGGACAUUUGAGUCCAGUCCCGUGUCUGGCUGUGGGCAAGACCUUUCACAUCUGUUUUAUCAUCUUUGAAAUGGGUACAAUUUCUGUUUGCCCUGUUUGCCUCCCACCGUUGUUGGGAGGCUAAGAGAAGAGAAUAGAUCUAAAAGGAAUGGCAGUGUGGACAACUGUCCAGUUUCUGUCUAAAAUAUGUAUUUGGUGAGGGCUGGAUGACCUCACCGGCGUCUACCAUUGUGAGGACGUGUAUGAUCGAAGUCCUGUCCUCCAGGGUAAGGUAAGGCUAACCCUAAGCCCAACAAUAAACUUAACCUUACUUGAGCACUUGCCACGGGUUGGUAGUUCAUUUAAUCCUCAUAACAAACCACUAUGGCAAUGUUAUUUCCGGCUUCUUUUACAGAUGAAGACAUUGAAGCUCAGAGAGGGACGGCGAUCUGCCCAAGGACACACAGCUAGUGAGUGGCAGAGCUGAGAUUCAAACGCAGGGAGUCUAGCUGUUCACUACUCUUGGGCUGUUUGUUCUGUGGUAAACUGCUUCCCCUCGCUGGGUCUCUGGGUUCCCUUUCUCAAGAUGAGCGAACAGCUUUCCACCCCGUGCUCCUUAGAUCCCAGAAGGCCCUGGCGACAGAGGACAGGAGUGGAAAGGGAUUGGGGCAGGAAGGGUGGGGAGAGGCCGAGGAGAGCAGGGCUCUAUUUUAAUAAAAACGGAAUGUCUUAAGUUGUCAAACCAUUAACAUUUCAUACACAGCUCCUUUCCUUGUGUGGAUAUUUCCUUGUGUGGAUAUUUACGGGAUCAUCUCCAGUUCAAGGUCAGACAAAAAAGAAUCUCCUUAUCAUCUGGUCUAGUUCUUGCUUUGUUUUAGUUUUACACUGAUGCCUUUAAUUGGACUGGGAUUUAUUUGGUAUAGGAAGUGAG